AAGCAGAAAAGAGUAAUAGAAAAAUAGUUUUCAUUUUCAAUUUUCCUCAAAAGGGUUGUUUUUUAUGGUGCUUGAGUGCUUUUGCAAAGGACGUCCAGUUUUUGCUAUUGAAAAUAAACUAAAAAUUGAGUUAGUUUGAACGUGAUCUCUGAAAUGUAUACUUGCAGCCUUCCUUUUGGACUCAGUGAUGGACUGGAGAAAAAAAUAAACCUGUCCAGGCCGGGGGACUUGGAUGAAAAAACAGAUGACUUCACAGCAGCUCAACAUGUGCACUUCAGUGACGGGGAAAGGGAGCAGACCAUGUGGAUGCUAAAACACCACCGACGAAGACACUCCGUCACACUUGGAGAUAAAAUUCUAGUCUGUAAACAGCAGCACAGCUGUUUUCGAUCAGCCAACAAACUUGAGUAUUUGAAAGACCACCAUGCAUCAAAGAAUAGUUGCUAGGAAACCAGAGAAAAUCCUAAGAAAGAGUUGAAAGGAAAGGAAGUGGCCUCAUAUUUGACCACUGGAUCUGAUCUGCUCAUUACAAUGACAUUGUUGCCUCAGGAAAAAUUCCUGAUAAUGAACUGUAAAAUAUUCAUCAUUAAUGGCUCCUCUCUUCGUUUUUAGCCCUUCGACUUUAAAAACUGCUUGGUGAGUUGACUAGCUGUGAUUUAAAAGAGAAUGCUAUUUAAUGCAACUUUGAUCAUGUGAUGCUUUAAAUAGCCUCCAUAAUCAUGUCUAUAAUUACAAUGACUAAUUGAAAUGACCCCUUCUUUUUCUAUUCUGAGAUUGAUGAGAAGAUAUCAUUGGAAAGUCUCCAGAAACUCAAGCUAACUUUUGAGGUACUGAGAGAAUUGUUAUAAAAAUAUCAUAUUUUGAGAUUUAACUAUAUGUUUUUUUCUAAAGGAAUAUGAAGCGAAAGGCUUAAGAUGCAUUGAUGAGGGAGCUUUUGGACACGCGCUGAAGACGUGUUUUGGUUUGUCUAACACGGUGAGACAGCAUGGCAUUUGUCUUCACAUCUUUUCCCCUCUUAAUGUUCUCACUAACUGACCUUUCCUCAGCUAAAUAUAAUUCUUCAUUAAUUAGAAAAAAGUGUCAUUGUCCUCGUUUGUCUUUUGGAUUUCACAGAGCAAUGAACAGAUUCAUGGAUUAUUUAAGAAGAUUGAUUAUUUAGAUCAAGGAAAGAUUUCUUGGGUAAGGCGAUAUUCACGUAUAAGUUUCUCAUUAAGUCUGCAGCCAUUCACUUGUUGAGUCAUUUGCCGCCUCGGUGCAUGUUCCCUUUAGCAGCAAGCAAUA
rnacentral:lncRNA from 1 species